AAGUCGUAACAAGGUUUCCGUAGGUGAACCUGCGGAAGGAUCAUUACAAAUCCGUCACAUUAUGACACGUUGCAAUGUUGGAGAGUCAGGGGAGGGGGGGAGGAGAGAGAGAGAGUGAGAGAAUAUUUCUCUUUUUUUUUCUUCUUCUUCUUCUUCUGAAACUCUUCACCCUUUUACUAUUAUGUUUGUUGAUCAGUUUUAUUUUUUAAUCACAUACUGUAACACAACUUAUAACAAUGGAUCUCUAGGCUCUU
rnacentral:misc_RNA from 1 species